GGGGAUUUAGCUCAGUGGCAUAAGCACCUGCCUUGUAAGCAGGCAGUUGUGAGUUCGAUUCCCAGUACCAA
rnacentral:tRNA from 1 species